CAUGUUUCCUGUAGUUCCUCUGCUGCUUCUGGCUGCUGGAUCCUGUGUGAAGUGUGAACAGCUGACACAGCCAGACUCUGUGAGUCUGCAGCCAGGUCAGAGACUGACCAUCACCUGUCAGGUCUCUUAUUCUCUGAGCAGCUACCUCACAGCUUGGAUCAGACAGCCUGCAGGGAAAGGACUGGAGUGGAUUGGUAGUGAAUGUGUUGGAUGCACCAGCUACUACAAAGAUUCACUGAAGAACAAGUUCAGUAUGACUUUG